UAUACCCUGGGGUGUUGGCCAGCAGACUAUGUCCUUGAGCCGAUAAUCUUACCCCGGUGGUUUCCAGCGGGUGCUGGUGCGCAGGUCCGCCAUGCAGCGGAAAGCCUUAUGUACUCCGGAUCCCACCACCUUGAACCUUACGGUUCAAGGCUCCGUCUACAGCCGCACACUCGGGGUUCCU
rnacentral:other from 1 species